GGGAGGGGGUGGGGGAGGGGGAGGGGGAGGGGGUGGGGUGUGGGUGGGGGUGGUUCAAACCUGCUUCCACCUGGAACUGGAGGUUCAGGUCCAGUUCAAGUCAGGCCGAUUUCAGUCUGGUUUCGGGCCCGAACCUGACCAUGGCUUGGUCUACUCCAAAAUAUCAAAUCAAGUAUCAAGCAUCCAUAAUCUGCUAUAGAGACAGAUUAUUUCUCCAUGGAAUAAGAGCUAGCUUCUCCUUUGGAAUUACACUAUUUAUCAGCAAGUUAAUAAGCAUGGGUGUAGCAUCCACAGUUGACAUGGUUUCUUAAUUACACACAAAUAUAUGCCCUUUGAAUGUGUCCUAUAAUAUUAGAGCAAUAAACUAAUUGACUAUUCUAUGGCAAUAUACCAGCUAACCAAAAUCCAUUAGAACAAAACAAAAGGACUAUAAGGCAUGGCCAAUAUAGCAAAUAGAUCAAUACUAUGCUAUUGAAGUAUGAGAAUCAGCAGUCUAAUAACCCACAUGCCAACAUUGACAAUUUAAUCUCUGCAUAUAUUAACUUUCCAGCAACAUUAAGCCUUUGUUUGGAUCCUUAAUUGUG
rnacentral:misc_RNA from 1 species